CACCUACAAACCAAGGAGCACCAAGGAUUGCCAAGGCAACCGCCAGAAGCCAGGACAGAAGCAACUGAUUCUCCCUCAGAGCCUCCAGAAAAAGCCAGCCUUGCUGACACCUGACUUCAUACUUCUGGCCUCCAGAACUAUAUAUCUACGAAAGGAAGAAAUGCCAGAAACUGUGGCAGCCAUCUCGAGACCUGGAACUCUAAGGCCUGAGAACCAAUAUCCUGAGGAUGGUAAUACAGAAAGACGGUGUGAAAGAUGUAUCCAAUGAGAACUGCUGUGUGCAGACCUCCUGGCUGAGAGUGUGUCAAGCAUUCAAGAAACGGCUUCCCUGGUGGCACAGUGGUUAAGAAUCUGCCUGCCAAUGCAGGGGACACGGGUUGAGCCCUGGUCUGGGAAGAUUCCACAUGCCGCGGAGCAACUAAGCCUGUGUGCCACAACUACUGAGCCUGAGCUCUAGAGCCCGUGAGCCACAACUACUGAACCCUUGUGCCACAACUACUGAAGCCCGUGCACCUAGAGCCCGUGUUCCACAACAAGAGAAGCCACCACAAUGAGAAGCCCGUGCACCGCAACGAAGAGUAGACCCUGCUCGCCACAACUACUGAGCCCUUGUGCCACAACUACUGCAGCCCGCGCGCCUAGAGCCCGUGUUCCACAACAAGAGAAGCCACCGCAAUGAGAAGCCCGCGCACCGCAACAAAGAGUAGACCCCGCUCGCCACAACUAGAGAAAGCCUGUGCGCUGCAACAAAGA